GUCAGCCCCUGUGUAUCUAACUGUACAAAGCGCAUUGCCAGCAUAUAUAGGCCUCAAGAAUUGGCGAGAUUCAGUUAUAGCAACGACAUCAGUAACUGGAGAAACAUCUAAAAGAGCGGCAGCGCGUGGAAGAAUGUUUUUCCCAAAGGAACCUGAAGCUGCAAUUACAUGAGAAUAUCCAUUCUUCUGUUGAACCAAUUGAACUAAUUGAGACCAAGGUUCUGCCAAAGGGUAUGUAAAUUCAUCGGAAUCAGCAACAAGCACCUGAGAAAUAGAUGGGUGGCAAGAGGCAGCAUGUUCGGCAGCUUCCCGAAGCGAAGGCCCUGAGCCAGCCAACAGGACGGAAAUCGAACUGUCUUUGCUCAAAGAACCGGC
rnacentral:misc_RNA from 1 species